GAUCGAUCUCCGAUCAAUUUUUUAGAGCCGAAGGAAUCGACCCAAUUUCAUAAGCUCCCCAGGUAAAAAUCCAAAGUAUAUCUCUAAACGAAAACCUAUUUAUUUUACUCAAACUUGAUUUCACCAUCGAACAGAAGCGGCAUCGAUAGUGCAGAUCUGGGUUUACCAGAUGAGGUCUUGGAAGAAGACUCUUCACAAAUCGAUCACCAAGCAAUUGAAGAAUAAGAUUCAGAUUUGAGAUUAUUGUGGAGAAUAAGCCCAGAUCGGAAAAGAUGACGAUGACUAUGCUCGAACUACAAUGACUCUGCUCGAACUAAGAUGACUAUGCUCGAACUCUGCCUCAAAUCCCCAAACCCAAAAAGUUAUUUGGCUGGACAUCUUUCAUAUGAGGCUAUUGUGGUGGUGAAGUUUCUGCCGCCGACGACAGGGUGGGGUUGGAGAAUGGAGAUGCGAUUAGAUUGAAGAUUAUUGUUUUUUAGUUUAUUUUAUUUUAUUUUCAUUAGUUUAUUCAUGCUAACACUUGAUCAAAGGAAUUAAACGAUGUGGCUUUCAGUUGUAUGCCACCUCAGCAGCUGGCGGGCCAUGUUAUAAAAUUUGCAGUCAUUAUUCUCAAUAGGUCGUCAUUACAUUAAAUUUUGUAUAUAUCAUAUAUAAAUUGAUAAAUGGUUGAUACGUAAAUGACAUUUUGAAUUAUUU
rnacentral:lncRNA from 1 species